CCCUUAGAUGUUCUGGGCCGCACGCGCGCUACACUGAUGCAUUCAACGAGUUUCUUCCUGGUCCGAGAGGAAUGGGUAACCUUUUGAAAGUGCAUCGUGAUAGGGAUAGACCAUUGCAAUUAUUGGUCUUCAACGAGGAAUUCCUAGUAGACAUAGUUCAUCAGACUGCAUCGAUUACGUCCCUGCCCUUUGUACACACCGCCCGUCGCUCCUACCGAUUGAAUGCUCAGGUGAGCCAUUCGGACUUUCAUCAUGCUGGUUUCCAGUUUUGAUGAAGGAAAGUCUUGCGAACCUUAUCAUUUAGAGGAAGGAGAAGUCGUAACA
rnacentral:rRNA from 1 species